UACAUGCAGUCGAGCGAACAGAUGAAGUGCUUGCACUUCUGACGUUAGCGGCGAACGGGUGAGUAACACGUAAGGAAUCUACCUAUAAGCGGGGGAUAACAUUCGGAAACGGGUGCUAAUACCGCAUAAUAUCUUCUUCCGCAUGGAAGAAGAUUGAAAGACGGCUCUGCUGUCACUUAUAGAUGACCUUGCGGUGCAUUAGUUAGUUGGUGGGGUAACGGCCUACCAAGACGAUGAUGCAUAGCCGACCUGAGAGGGUGAUCGGCCACAUUGGGACUGAGACACGGCCCAAACUCCUACGGGAGGCAGCAGUAGGGAAUCUUCCGCAAUGGGCGAAAGCCUGACGGAGCAAUGCCGCGUGAGUGAAGAAGGCCUUCGGGUCGUAAAACUCUGUUAUAAGAGAAGAACAAAUUGUAGAGUAACUGCUACAGUCUUGACGGUAUCUUAUCAGAAAGCCACGGCUAACUACGUGCCAGCAGCCGCGGUAAUACGUAGGUGGCAAGCGUUGUCCGGAUUUAUUGGGCGUAAAGGGAGCGCAGGUGGUUUCUUAAGUCUGAUGUGAAAGCCCACGGCUUAACCGUGGAGGGUCAUUGGAAACUGGGAAACUUGAGUACAGAAGAGGAAUGUGGAACUCCAUGUGUAGCGGUGGAAUGCGUAGAUAUAUGGAAGAACACCAGUGGCGAAGGCGACAUUCUGGUCUGUUACUGACACUGAGGCUCGAAAGCGUGGGGAGCAAACAGGAUUAGAUACCCUGGUAGUCCACGCCGUAAACGAUGAGUGCUAGGUGUUGGAGGGUUUCCG
rnacentral:rRNA from 1 species